rnacentral:rRNA from 1 species
GCCUACGGGGGGCAGCAGUGAGGAAUAUUGGUCAAUGGGCGGGAGCCUGAACCAGCCAAGUCGCGUGAGGGAAGACGGUCCUAUGGAUUGUAAACCUCUUUAGGCGGGGAGCAAUGCCGGGCACGCGUGCCCGGAGGGAGAGUACCCGCAGAAUAAGCAUCGGCUAACUCCGUGCCAGCAGCCGCGGUAAUACGGAGGAUGCGAGCGUUAUCCGGAUUUAUUGGGUUUAAAGGGUGCGUAGGCGGAUUUUUAAGUCAGCGGUAAAAUGUCCGGGCUCAACCCGUGCCGGCCGUUGAAACUGGGGG